UACAGAGGGGGCGAGCGUUAUUCGGAAUUAUUGGGCGUAAAGAGUGUGUAGGCGGUGCUCUAAGUCUGUUGUGAAAUCUCCCGGCUUAACCGGGAGGGUGCGGCGGAAACUGGAGUGCUUGAGGGUGGGAGAGGUAAGCGGAAUUCCUGGUGUAGCGGUGAAAUGCGUAGAUAUCUGGAGGAACACCGGUGGCGAAGGCGGCAUCCUGGACCAACACUGACGCUGAGUGAGCGAAAGCCAGGGGAGCAAACGGG
rnacentral:rRNA from 1 species